UACGUAGGUGGCAAGCGCUGUCCGGAAUUACUGGGUGUAAAGGGCGUGUAGGCGGGAUCUUAAGUCAGAUGUGAAAUUCCAGGGCUCAACUCUGGCGCUGCAUCUGAAACUGAGAUUCUUGAGUGCUGGAGGGGAAAGCGGAAUUCCUAGUGUAGCGGUGAAAUGCGUAGAUAUUAGGAGGAACACCAGUGGGGAAGGCGGCUUUCUGGACAGUAACUGACGCUGAGGCGCGAAAGCUAGGGGGGCAAACAGA
rnacentral:rRNA from 1 species